rnacentral:rRNA from 1 species
UACGUAGGGAGCAAGCGUUGUCCGGAAUCAUUGGGCGUAAAGCGCGCGUAGGCGGCCCUGUAAGUCCGUUGUGAAAGUCAAAGGCUCAACCUUUGAAAGCCGAUGGAUACUGCAGGGCUAGAGUCCGGAAGAGGCGAGUGGAAUUCCUGGUGUAGCGGUGGAAUGCGCAGAUAUCAGGAGGAACACCGAUGGAGAAGGCAGCUCGAUGGGACGGUACUGACGCUGAGGCGCGAAAGCGUGGGGAGCGAACAGG